AUGAAGAAAUGUCUAAUCACUUUGUGUGGUUCAGGCUUGUUUAUGUGUUCUAACGACUCCAGCAUCAGUCAAUGGCUUGGUCUGCCUUCGUGCCGCCUCUGGGUUUGCUCAUCCUGUCUGUUUGAUGUGGGCUCCUCUUCUAAUUUUUAUUUUGCUUACUGCAAUUCUACUGGCCACAAUCCAUUAAUUACUCGGCCUGCACACGUUUUCUUCCACAAAUCUAUGCACACAAUUCGUUGGCAGCGUUAUGGUGUGAGAAAGGCAGCCAUGGUGGCUGCCAUAGCCAGUGAAGGAGAAAGGGUGGAUUUGAGGAGAAAGAAGAAGGGGAAGAGGUGA
rnacentral:rRNA from 1 species